rnacentral:rRNA from 1 species
GGGUGCGACCAAACCAGCACUAACGCACCGGAUCCCAUCAGAACUCCGAAGUUAAGCGUGCUUGGGCGAGAAUAGUACGAGGAUGGGUGACCCCCUGGAAAGUCCUCGUGUUGCACUCC